GGUCUCCAGUUGAUUGGGACUGAAUCGGGAGAUUAAUCUCUCCUCUGAUCUGAACCCGCCUAUUUGUUUUGCAGAUGAGGAAGUUUUGAACUAGAGAGAGUACAGUGGGAAAAGCGCCCUCCAGCCUAGUGACUGCAUACCACCAGACACUGGAGGACACGGAGAACACGCACCUGAAGUAGCCCCUGCACUGAGCCACCAUCUGACUGGGUCCACAGUGAUUCACAGUUGGUCCCUCAAACCCACUCAUCUUCUGCACGGGCAGAACAGGCAAGGUGGUCCUCGGCGCGUGUGGCAUCCAUCUGCGCCUCCGUCGGCCAGGCGGCCUCCUCCACACGCAUCUCUACGUCCUCUCCUGCUCUGACAAGGACACGGCGUCUGGACUCCAGGCUCACCCUGCUCCCAUGUGAGCUCAACUCACAACGUCUGCACUGACCCUGAUUACAAAAAAGGUCACACCUGCCAGCCUUCGAGCAGGUGAAUGGGGGCAGGAGGGUGGGGAACACUGCCUCCCGCAGUGUGUCUCGGCCCCUGACUCACCCAGCGGCUCCCUCGAGACCCCUGCCGUCUGGGCCCCCUCCCCUCCUGAGAUUCCGUGGCAUUUCAGUCCUGCUGGGAGGGCAACUGGGUGGGCCAAUUUCCUGGCUGUAGCCCUGUGGUUCCCGUGGUGUGGGCACCUUCACCCACCUCGAUCCUGAGAGGACCCUGGUCUCUGACCCUCCUCAAACCCCUAGUCGUUGCAAUAGUCCCUGGUCUGGUCCACAAGGAUUCUAUAAGAUCUCCAGUCAGGACCCUACUUUUUCCCCUACAGAAUAUGGGGCACUGUGUCCACAUGUGUGGAGUCUGGCCCUACACACAUAAGCACUGCUGGGCCCGGCUUCCCUCAUCCUGGCCCUGGGCUUACAUAGGGCAUCUCUUCUGGAUCAUCCCCACAGCGCUCCAGGCAGUGCACUUCUGGGGAGGGACCACACGUCACAUGGGCUUUGUCACCUGGGCUCCCAGCCUCCCAAGUUACAGCAACCCCAGAAGACACAGCUCCCUUACUUCUCCUGCUCCCUCGAUGGAGUAUUUCUCAGGGUAGGGUGACCCCUGGGGGUGGGACCCAAACCUUCCCAGCCCGCAGCCCCAGACCUUCCUCCUCUCUCCAGCUGGUCCCACAAACCUGCAUGUCCCCUACACAGCCAGGGCCCCACCUUCCUGCCUCAUCCAGCUUCCACACCCACCAUCCCAUUUGUAGGGGCUCAAACUCAAACACACACACAAAUACAUGAGGUGUCCACUCUGUGUGUGUGACAGGUGUCCCUGAGAACAAACUCACU
ensembl:lncRNA